rnacentral:rRNA from 1 species
AGUGGCUCGAGGACAACGCUGGCGGCGUGCCUAACACAUGCAAGUCGAACGGAGAUGUUGAUUUCGGUUGACGUCUUAGUGGCGAACGGGUGAGUAACGCGUGAACAAUCUGACCUUAAGAGGGGGAUAACAACGAGAAAUCGUUGCUAAUACCGCAUAAGACCACAAUGCCGCAUGGCGAAGGGUCAAAGGAGCAAUCCGCUUAAGGAGGGGUUCGCGUCCCAUUAGGUAGUAGGUGAGGUAACGGCUCACCUAGCCGACGAUGGUAGCCGAGCUGAGAGGCUGAUCGGCCACACUGGAACUGAGACACGGUCCAGACUCCUACGGGAGGCAGCAGUGGGGAAUAUUGGGCAAUGGGCGCAAGCCUGACCCAGCAACGCCGCGUGAGGGAAGAAGGUUUUCGGAUUGUAAACCUCUGUCGCAGAUGACGAAACAAAUGACGGUAAUCUGUGAGGAAGCCCCGGCUAACUACAUG